rnacentral:sRNA from 1 species
GGAAUCGCAGUUUGACCCCGGAAGUGCGGGCGCUCAGGGAGCUGUCACCGUGGUCGGCGGCGGCGGAGGCGGCGGCGGCACAGAGCCGGUGGUGGAGCCGCCGAGGCCACCUCGUGUAUGCAGAGACCAUGUGUGUCUGAUCUGCUGGGAUCCUAGAGCUGGAACAGGUUUCAUGGACUAGGCAGACUGGUCCUCUCUUAUUAAUCCUUCUAGGGAGGGUCACGCAGCACAAUGCCAGCUCUGCCCCUGGACCAACUCCAGAUCACCCACAAGGACCCGAAGACAGGAAAGCUGAGGACUUCACCAGCGCUGCACCCCGAGCAGAAGGCAGACCGGUAUUUUGUGUUAUACAAACCGCCCCCUAAAGACAACAUUCCCGCCCUAGUGGAGGAGUACCUGGAACGCGCCACCUUCGUAGCCAAUGACCUCGACUGGCUCCUGGCCUUGCCUCACGAUAAAUUCUGGUGCCAGGUGAUCUUUGACGAGACUCUACAGAAGUGCCUGGACUCCUACCUGCACUAUGUCCCCCGCAAAUUCGAUGAGGGGGUGGCCUCAGCCCCUGAGGUUG